AUGGAACUGAUCCUCCGGGUUGUGCUUCUGUCUUGAUGCACACAACCUUCCCCUUUCCUGAUCGUGUUUGCUCACUGAAUCCUUUAAAUCUCAGAAACGCCUUCAUUUGUUUUUUCUUCUUUUCUUUCUUUUUUGUCUUUAGGCGUACAAUAAUAUGUGCUUUUUAGGCGUACAAAUAAUGUUGUGCUGUGCAAGCCCCUGUAUCGUUCUGUCAAUAUUAAAGCUGGAAUAGUUUCUACUACC
rnacentral:sRNA from 1 species